rnacentral:rRNA from 1 species
UACGUAGGGGGCAAGCGUUGUCCGGAUUUAUUGGGCGUAAAGAGCGUGUAGGCGGCUAGGUAGGUCCGUUGUGAAAACUCGAGGCUCAACCUCGAGACGCCGGUGGAAACCAUCUAGCUAGAGUCCGGAAGAGGAGAGUGGAAUUCCUGGUGUAGCGGUGAAAUGCGCAGAUAUCGUGAGGAAGACCAGUGGCGAAGGCGGGUCUCUGGACAGUUCCUGACGCUGAGGCGCGAAGGCCAGGGGAGCAAACGGG